CAGCAGCCGCGGUAAUACGAAGGGGGCUAGCGUUGCUCGGAAUGACUGGGCGUAAAGGGCGCGUAGGCGGAUUGUACAGUCAGGCGUGAAAUUCCUGGGCUCAACCUGGGGACUGCGCUUGAUACGGUCGAGCUAGAGGAUGGAAGAGGGUCGUGGAAUUCCCAGUGUAGAGGUGAAAUUCGUAGAUAUUGGGAAGAACACCGGUGGCGAAGGCGGCGACCUGGUCCUUUACUGACGCUGAGGCGCGAAAGCUAGGGGAGCAAACAGGAUUAGAUACCCCCGUAGUCCCUGUCUCUUAUAC
rnacentral:rRNA from 1 species